UCAGCCCCCAUGCGUUCCAGGAGUCUUAUUGCUGCUGACAUGGUCCCUCCUGUAGCUAUCAAAUCAUCAAUUACCAAUGCACGUUCCCCAGGCUGAACAGCACCAACAUGCAUUUCUAGACAGUCGGUUCCAUAUUCCAGCACGUACUGUUCAGAGAUUACUGGACCUGGCAGCUUUCCGGAUUUUCUUAAAGGAACAAAC
rnacentral:misc_RNA from 1 species